rnacentral:sRNA from 1 species
AUCUUCGAGAAGCAAGAAGAAGCUUGGUUAGUGUUUUGGAUUCGAAUAUGACUUGAUGUCAUGUCU